AUGCUGCGCGGCGGCGCCGGACCGCGAGGAGGAGGAGGAGGAGCUGCGGCGGCGUCGUCGGCGGCGAGGCCCCCUCGCUGCCCGCACCCCCGCCCCGCGCCGCGCCGAGCGCGAGCGACGGCGGGAGGUCUGGAGCCGAAGGGCGUCGCCGUCUCGGUGCUGGAGGAUCCGGUGGUGUCUUCCGUCGAGGAAUCCUCCUUCACAUUUGAGUUCAAGAGAGGGUCCAAGAGGGCGAGGAAGGGGAUGCCGCCGGCAGAAGUGCAUAGAGGCAAAGAGAACUGGCAUGGAGAGGGAGUCACUAACAAACAGAACAUGGCUGCUGCAAAGUCACACAUGACGAAAGAGGGGCCAGAAGAGGUGGAGUUCACGCACUGCGCGCCCAGCAUCGUUGCGAGGCUGAUGGGUCUCGAGACCGUGCCGAGGUCCAAGAAGGUUCUUGACCGGUGCCAGAGUGACAUCCAGAGCAACCCACGGCUGAAGUUAUCCGGACGUGCUGAGGAAGUGGCCCGGGUUUCAUGCGAGGAUCGGCCAUGCCGGAGCAGUGGCGACGAGCUGCCGGAACUGAAGGAUGUUUUCGAGGUGACCGAGAUGGAGAACAUGGCGACGCGCAAGGCGUUGCAGUCAGGCAAGGAGAUGCCACGCCCAAGAAGCAAUGAUGCUGAUCUUGAGUUCGUGAGGCAGAAGUUCUUGGAUGCAAAGCGCCUUUCCACCGACGAAGGCCACAGGAAUUCCAAGGAGUUUGGUGAGGCACUUGAGAUACUGUACUCCAAGAAGGAUGUUUUCCUUGAAAUCCUUCAGGAGAGCAGUGUUGCCUUGUCAGGGUUCCCAGGGCACAUCCUUGGUUACAGUGGUUUGCAGUGCUCCCCCCAUGGAAGCAAUGGUGCUGGUGCACAAUCGUUUGGGCAGGACAACCUUUGCAGAAUGGAAGCUGACAGUGAGUCCGAGGGUCCUCUUUCUAGUGUGCAUCUCGAAGAUGUGCCACUGGAGCAUUCGGCACCAAAAGGGAGCAGGCGUUCAAGGAGGCCCUCGCAAAUUGUUGUUCUGAAACCAGACCCUCAGAGGAGAAGUUCUACACCGGUUAUAGCAAGCCAAGAAACAUCGCAGUUUGGUCAGUGGACUGGUGCACGGUGGUUGAAGCCGCCACGCCAUAGUCUGCAUAAGCAAGAUGGCAUACAUUCUAUGGCACAUGGCAGUGUCCAAGUUUCAGAGCCAGAAGGAGAUACACCUGAACAGAAGCUUAGAAUACAAACCUCUAGAAGAGGUAGCAGGAAGAAACCAUCUGAGAAUGAGUGCUACCUUGGAGUUGGCUGUCAAAGGGAAAAGGCUGCUUCCACUUCUCAUGAUGAGACUUCGUCAAUUUCUUCAUCCACGCAUUCUGCUGGAUCAUCGGUGAGCAGAAAGGCCAGAAAGCACCUCUCUGAAAGAUGGCAAAUGGCCUGCCAAUCCAAAGCUGAAAAUCCAGUUCCUACUGAUACAAGAACAUUAGGUGAGAUGCUUGAACUCACUGCUAGAGAUGCAACGAAAGUAACCACCCAAAAGCGUUUGUCAGAUUCAAACACCAAUUCCAGUAAUGCGCAAGAGAUGCCGGCCAGCCCUCUUGGUAUUAGCAGCAAAGAUGGUUGGAAGACAGGGAUUUACCGUGGCGAUAAUUCAAGAAGUGGCAUAUCAAGGAAUUUUCCCAGGUCCAAGUCUCUCCCAACCUCAUCUACCACUGUUGCAAAAUUACCGGGCAGGAGGCGCUCUGCACCUAACUUGCCCAUUCUGAAGGACAUAUUGAAUACACCCACUGAUGAUACUGGGAAUGGACUUCUCAGGAAGAGAUUACCAAUCAGAAAAGCCAAGCAGAAUGGGCGAGUUAUCAUUCAUGUAGGAAAGGAAAAUAUGCUACCUGAGAAAGAGAUUUAUGUAACUUCAGAGAGAACAAGACACAGUAUCUGCACUUCUGAUCUACCCAGGACAAGCAACACAUAUAAUGAGCAUCCAGGUGAUGUUAUCAGUAUUGAGGAUCACACAGCAAUUGAUUUGGCUAUUCCACAUGAGGAUGUGCAAAAUUUGAAAGGUCAGGCAGGGUGGAAAGAGCAAAAGCUAGCAACACCGUUACCGGAGGCAGAAGACAUAGUAAUUCAUGAUCAGGAUAUCAUAACAUUGAAGGAGGUGAAAAGCCAACUAAUGGAGAGUGACAUUGCUGAAAUUGAUCACCAAGCAGUAAAGUCUGCUUAUUCUGUAAGCGCUGAGAGUUGCGAAUGCUCAAGUCCAACUGCUUCAUCGCAACAAAGUUCUGGAGAAGAGUCUACUUAUUCUGGAAUCUUCAAAAGUGUCAAUGAUGGUAUUCAAGGACUCAGAGCUCAACUUAAGAUGCUGAAGAUGGGCGACCAAGUUGAUACACGCAAAGAUGAUUCGGAUGCAUACUCGAGCGAUGAGUGCGACGAUACAGACAUUUCAGAUUACCAGGUGAAGGAAGAGCAGCUACCCAUAUUUAAGGAUGAGGAGGACAGGGACUGCACUUAUGUCCAGGAGAUGCUUGGCACUGCGUGUGGCUUUCCAGUCUACCCAGAGCAGUGGCAGUUCAGCUCAGAUGUGUUCGUAUGGCUGGAAAACAAGUACAGCAAGCUGCUCCUGUGGUCGAAAUCAGACAGGAAGCUUCUUUUCGAUCUCGUUAACUCAAUCUUAGCUGAUAUGACGGCUCCCGGCAGCAGCCUAUGUUCAAAAAUCAUGAUGAACUCCUGGCCUCAAAUGGAUUGGAGAAAGUUAGCUGAAAAUGUCUGGCAAACGGCAGUACUCAUGAGAAGGAGCUAUCAUCCAUUUGAUUUGGACAGUGUUGAGCCUUUGCCCCUGGACCAUCACCCUGAACUUAAAAUGUUCGGAGCAGACAUUGCUGAAAUGAUACGUGACGACGUUCUGGAAGAGCUUGUGGCCGAACUCGCGUCGCAUAUCAACUGA
rnacentral:rRNA from 1 species